UCCCUGGAGUUCACCUGAUCUCACAGG
rnacentral:piRNA from 1 species